rnacentral:rRNA from 1 species
CACGAACCGUACGAACGUUAUUCGGAAUUACUGGGCUUAAAGGGUUUGUAGGCGGCCAUGUAAGUGGGGUGUGAAAUCCCUCGGCUCAACCGAGGAACAGCGCUCCAAACUGUAUGGCUUGAGGGAGACAGGGGUAAGCGGAACUGAUGGUGGAGCGGUGAAAUGCGUUGAUAUCAUCAGGAACACCGGUGGCGAAGGCAACCACCUGGGCCUGUACUGACGCUGAGGUACGAAAGCGUGGGGAGCAAACAGG